rnacentral:rRNA from 1 species
GAUGAACGCUGGCGGCGUGCCUAAUACAUGCAAGUCGAGCGAACGGACGAGAAGCUUGCUUCUCUGAUGUUAGCGGCGGACGGGUGAGUAACACGUGGAUAACCUACCUAUAAGACUGGGAUAACUUCGGGAAACCGGAGCUAAUACCGGAUAAUAUUUUGAACCGCAUGGUUCAAAAGUGAAAGACGGUCUUGCUGUCACUUAUAGAUGGAUCCGCGCUGCAUUAGCUAGUUGGUAAGGUAACGGCUUACCAAGGCAACGAUGCAUAGCCGACCUGAGAGGAUGAACAGACACACUGGAACUGAGACACGGUCCAGACUCCUACGGGAGAGAGCAGUGGGGAAUAUUGGACAAUGGGAGAAAGCCUGAUCCAGCAAUGCCGCGUGAGGGAAGAAGGUCUUCGGAUUGUAAAGCAAUGUAAGGUGGGAGGAAGAGAAGUACGUGAAUACCUUGCUGUUUAGACGUGACCAACAGAAUAAGCACCGGCUAAAUUCGUG